CAAGACCUGCACUUUUGGAGCGGCCGAUGUCUGAUUAGCUAGUUGGUGGGGUAAUGGCCUACCAAAGCUUCGAUCAGUAGCUGGUCUGAGAGGACGGCCAGCCACACUGGGACUGAGACACGGCCCAGACUCCUACGGGAGGCAGCAGUGGGGAAUUUUGGACAAUGGGCGCAAGCCUGAUCCAGCCAUGCCGCGUGAGUGAAGAAGGCCUUCGGGUUGUAAAGCUCUUUCAGCCGGGAAGAAAAGGUUGCGAUUAAUAAUCGCAAUUUAUGACGGUACCGGAAGAAGAAGCACCGGCUAACUACGUGCCAGCAGCCGCGGUAAUACGUAGGGUGCGAGCGUUAAUCGGAAUUACUGGGCGUAAAGGGUGCGCAGGCGGUUUUGUAAGUCAGAUGUGAAAUCCCCGGGCUUAACCUGGGAACU
rnacentral:rRNA from 1 species